UGGCUACUUCAGGUUCACCCA
rnacentral:siRNA from 1 species